rnacentral:tRNA from 1 species
GGGCCCUUAGUUUAUCGGUAGAACACCUCGUUUGCACCGAGGAGAGAGCGGUUCAAUUCCGCUAGGGUCCA